rnacentral:rRNA from 1 species
CCUGCAGAAGGAUCAUUAGUGAAGAUUUGGGCAGGCCCAUACGGACGCCGAAAAGUGUCGCUGGCCGCCUACACCCACUAUACAUGCACAAACCCGUGUGCACUGUCUUGGAGAAAGGCUUCUUGAGAAGUUUUGUGGCCUCUCUUGGAGUCUUUCUUCGCUACAAACUCGAAUGGUUAGUAUGAACGUGGAACUUGGUUGGACCGUCACUGGCCAACAAACUAUACACAACUUUCGACAACGGAUCUCUUGGUUCUCCCAUCGAUGAAGAACGCAGCGAAACGCGAUAGGUAAUGUGAAUUGCAGAAUUCCGUGAAUCAUCGAAUCUUUGAACGCACCUUGCGCUCUAUGGCAAUCCGUAGAGCAUGCCUGUUUGAGUGCCAUGAAAUCUCCCACCCCAAGCGGUUUUUGAAUGUGAAACGGCUUGGCGGAUGGGGUCUGGAUGGGUGCCUCUGCCUGUGCUAAACCUUAGCCCACAGGCUCGCCCGAAAUGCAUGAGCGCCUUGGGACACUUUGCAUCCGCCUCUCUUGUGGGAGGAGGCGGCCAAGCAGUGUUUUUCUCCAGGCAUGGCAUGAUACGUCAUUUGCUAUGUCGCCCAAUGGAGGAAUGUUUGGUUGUGUCUGCGUGUGCUUCGAACUUGCCUCUGUGCAAAUCCCCUUUCACUUCUGGUCUCAAAUCAGGUAGGAUCACCCGCUGAACUUAAGCA